rnacentral:lncRNA from 1 species
AUGAUAGAAACUAGAAAUUGGAAUUUUGGAAUAAUAUGGACUGUGCUCUGUGUUUUCUUUAAUUGGUUAUUUGCAGUCCUUCUGGUUCUUCAAGCAUCUUUAUGCAUCUUUGCUACUGAAACAACAGAGGAGUCUGCUGAACGAAACUGCCACAAGGAGUGUAAGAACACAAAAGGGAGAGAUUGCCAUCCGUUCCUCCAGAUGAGCCUCCGUCUGCCUGCCCGCUCCUGAAGGAAAUAGCAAUCAUGACUGAAACAUUCUGAUGGCUGUGGAAAACACAUUUGCUGAAGUAUAAAAUAGAAAAGAGAAGUGAAAAAUAGAACUGGAAAGUAAGUCAUGGAACAUGGUAUGUAUCACUGAACUACAAUGAAUGAGACAGAUGCAUACUGAUGCUCAUCUGUGGCUCACACUGACUAUUUACCUACUGUUCUGACAGAGCAGAUAGUCACAGUCAGAACAGAGCUGGCCAGAUCUGAAGAAACUGUGGCCUGGAAGUCAUACUUUAUUACCACAAGCUCAUGUAUCUCGCCUCUCUACAAGGCUGAUUAGGUUGGGCUCAGCAUCUGAUUCUCAACUCAGCACAGACAUAGAGACUUCAGGGCACGUUCAGUAGCAAAACUUUGAAUGUUUGGAUGAGUUUUCUUGUAAAUGGUUAUGCAUCCCUAGUGCUUACCAUUUUUGGAAGGGCUUUCUUGAUUUCUCUGUUCGACAUAUGCACCUAAAUCCACCUAAUUUGUACUUUCAUUGCUCAGUACUGCUUGGUUUUUAUCUAUAGGAACUUGUUUAUAGCCUUUAACUACCCUGUAUGUCAUUUGGAGCAUAAGAAUAUAGUUUUGGGCUUGUAAAAUAUGUCUAUAGCACAUAACGCAGCCCAUGAAGUAAUUCUUGACCUUGCUUUGAACGAGCUACAUCUGGAACUUGAAUCACCGUAACUGAGUCAGUAACAGCCAUUAGAGUACUCAGCUAGGACAUCAGUUCCCUCCUAAGUGUUUCCCAGGAUCAAAAUCUGCAGUGUUAAUUUCUCUCUAUGAUUUUGAAACCAAGUAAUAGUAUGGCUAUUUUCCAACUAUGUUUCAGCUACUGUGGUGUCUUAAAAACAAAACAAAACAAAACAAAACAAAAAAACAGAGCUGAUACUAGAAAAUCAAAUUCAUUAAUUUGUACGAGGUUCAAUUAUUUACAUUAUAUUUGAGUUUUUCUGAACUGCUAAUGCCAUACAAGCAUUAAUGAC